ACUCUUGAAUUGCCAACAACUACUACAUUUGUUAAUAUAAAAUGUAUAUCGAUUAUAACUUUAAAUUUAUACAAAUAAAAUAUUACGUCACGGUCUAAAAUCCAAGUUCAUGAUGACACCUAUACAAAUUCGGCUAGUAGGCAAAUCAUCAGUUCUUCACCCCAAUCAAAUAUCAAGUCAAUAUCGUAAAAGUAACCCUCAAAAAUUCAAGAUUUCAUAAAUAGAAUAGAAGUGC
rnacentral:lncRNA from 1 species